rnacentral:tRNA from 1 species
GCGGGGAUAGCUCAGUUGGAAGAGUAUCAGACUAAAGAUAUCUUCAGUUACGUGUUUGAUCCAUGCUCACCGCA